GUAGGGAGAGGGUGAGACAAAGAGAAGAGAGCAAGAGUUAGAGAGGUCUGACAGAAGGGGAGAGAGACAGAGAGCCUAAGAGACCAGUGAGAAAGUCAGAGAGAAGUGAGAAGUGCGAUGGAGAGAUGAGAAGGUUUAGUGACCAAGUGAGAUGGUGACUUUCUUUUGAAUCAAUGAGAAUAAGUCAUCUAUUAUUUUUUUACAACAAUCAAUGAGAAUGAGACUUCAGUGGUAUUUAUGAACAAAAAAAAAAAAAAAAUGGACCUUCUGUGGGGAGACAUAUACACCAUGUGGUAAAAUACUUAUGAGCAGAGUUACCUUAAAAAGAGCACCCAAAACUCAUCUUAAAAGGAGGUGAGUUUUUUGAAUUUAUUUCCAGUUGAAAAAGCAGAGGUGUAAAUGUGAAAAGCUGUACCAAACACUAAAAAAUAAUAGAAUUACUAGUUUUGAUAUUGAAAUUUAAUAAUUUCUGAACUGUGUAUGAGUACCAAAGUCAAUUUCGGAUAUAUUAAAAAAAAAGAAAAGAAAGCUGUAUUGUUUUAUAUUUCAUAGAUUACAGUUACAUGAUUUUUUUUUUUUUUGACUUAGAUCUUAUAUUGUUCAUUUAAACUUAUAGGAAUAACUGUAGUAUGUUCAAUUGUAGCUGGCUGGAGUUAUUCUAUAUUGAAUUGCUUUUGUACAAUAGUGUAUUGAUUGAAAUCAGGAAUUUCAUGAGUUUGAAGUGUGUAGGAGCUUCGACAAAUUUGAUUAGUGUGAUGAAAUGGAAAAAAAUGAUUCAUAAACCCAAUCUACUCGAUUUGGACAAAAAGCUUAGUUUGGUGUGGUUUGGCUUUUUAAAUUGGCGCUUCAGUCUCCGUUUCAGAGUUCUUGCUUGUAGAUAAUGCUAUUAGUUUUUGGCGGGGCCAAGAAGGUAUAGUUAAGAUAUCUCUGGUGUCCUCUAUGCUUUGAGGCGUGUAUAGCUUAAAGAUCAACUUCAGGAAGGCUAGUUGAUUUUGCUCUUCCAUUCUUCAUAUAUUUUCUUGGUCCUCACAAUCUUAAUCAUUCUAGUCAGCCAAACAGUACCAUCAUUAUUUGCCCUCUCGGCCUUACUCAUUGGCUUUGAGCUUUGGGCCUUUCUUCUUGGAAUGUUAUAUGACACGUUUUCAAUCCUAGCCAUGCUUGUAAAGAAGAUUAAAAUAAAAUGCAUGCAGUGAUAAUUUGUUAGAUCAAUUAAGAUUGCCAAACUACAAAACUGAUCACUUUAUAGUAUUAUGAAUAUGUUUAAGGUUACCUGUUUACUCUGUUGCUUGAGUAAAAAUCUGACCUCUUCUACGUGCUGUCCUGGAACAAAAGCACCUGAUUUAGAAGAAGAUGAUAAAUUGUAUGAGGACUUCAAUAUGGAUGAAGUUGACUUGAAUAUUUAGAACUAUGAAGAAAUAUUUGGUGUAGCUCUUAAUGAUCCAGAACAACUGUUUGGUAAUGAUGGAAUUGGUAGCUUGUUUGGAGUGAAGGACAUAUCCGGUGCUGAUUUGAACUGUUGAGGCACAUAUGCAGCUGAGAGUAUGAAUCAAACGCCACCUGUGGGAAGAGAUUAUCAUCUAUUGGCCUGGACAACACUAAAGUGAACAGGCAGGCUUAUAGACAGCUUUUGUUGACUACUCCUGGCCUGGGUGAGUAUAUUUCUGGUGCGAUUCUGUUUGAGAAGACACUUUACCAGUCAACAACAGACGGGAAGAAGUUUGUGAAUUGCUUGCGUGAGCAAAACAUUGUACCUGGAAUCAAAGUCAAUAAGGGUUUAGUUCCCCUACCAGGGUCCAACAAUGAAUCUUGGUGCUAGGGAUUAGAUGGAUUGGCUUCUAGAUCUGCCGAAUACUAUAAGCAAGGUGCUCGUUCAAGUCAAUAAGG